rnacentral:rRNA from 1 species
GACGAACGCUGGCGGCGCGCCUAACACAUGCAAGUCGAACGAGCGAGAGAGAGCUUGCUUUCUCGAGCGAGUGGCGAACGGGUGAGUAACGCGUGAGGAACCUGCCUCAAAGAGGGGGACAACAGUUGGAAACGACUGCUAAUACCGCAUAAGCCCACGGCUCGGCAUCGAGCAGGGGGAAAAGGAGCGAUCCGCUUUGAGAUGGCCUCGCGUCCGAUCAGCUAGUUGGUGGGGUAGCGGCCCACCAAGUCGACGAUCGGUAGCCGGCCUGAGGGGUUGAGUGGACAGGCUGGGACGGAGAUACGGCACGGACGAAGCCGGGAGGCAGGAGUGGGGAAGAUUGGAUGAUGGGCGGAGGGAUGAUGGAGCAAAGCGGCGCGCGGGAGGAAGGGCAGCGGGUUGGAUACCGCUUUCGCGUGGGAGGAAGAGUGAGUGACGGUAAUGGGUAAAGAAGCACCGGCUAACUACGUG